rnacentral:rRNA from 1 species
UGGGGAAUAUUGCACAAUGGGCGCAAGCCUGAUGCAGCCAUGCCGCGUGUAUGAAGAAGGCCUUCGGGUUGUAAAGUACUUUCAGCGGGGAGGAAGGUGUUGCGGUUAAUAACCACAGCAAUUGACGUUACCCGCAGAAGAAGCACCGGCUAACUCCGUGCCAGCAGCCGCGGUAAUACGGAGGGUGCAAGCGUUAAUCGGAAUUACUGGGCGUAAAGCGCACGCAGGCGGUCUGUCAAGUCGGAUGUGAAAUCCCCGGGCUCAACCUGGGAACUGCAUUCGA